rnacentral:rRNA from 1 species
AUUGAACGCUGGCGGCAUGCCUUACACAUGCAAGUCGAACGGUAACAGGUCUUCGGAUGCUGACGAGUGGCGAACGGGUGAGUAAUACAUCGGAACGUGCCUAGUAGUGGGGGAUAACUACUCGAAAGAGUGGCUAAUACCGCAUGAGAUCUACGGAUGAAAGCAGGGGAUCGCAAGACCUUGUGCUACUAGAGCAGCCGAUGGCAGAUUAGGUAGUUGGUGGGAUAAAAGCUUACCAAGCCGACGAUCUGUAGCUGGUCUGAGAGGACGAUCAGCCACACUGGGACUGAGACACGGCCCAGACUCCUACGGGAGGCAGCAGUGGGGAAUUUUGGACAAUGGGCGAAAGCCUGAUCCAGCAAUGCCGCGUGCAGGAUGAAGGCCUUCGGGUUGUAAACUGCUUUUGUACGGAACGAAAAGCCCCGGGUUAAUACCCUGGGGUCAUGACGGUGCCGUAAGAAUAAGCACCGGCUAACUACGUGCCAGCCGCCGCGGUAA